UUUCAGCCCAUCUCUUACAAUAGGCAUCUCAAACUCAGAUCAUGGGGGCCCUUGUAUCUGCUGGUUGCGUACCUGCGCCUAAGUGCUUUAUUUAAGUCACUGAUUGGCUAAAUUGGCUGCUGAUUGAAAGAAGAUUGUGCUGAAAACCAGCGGGUACUGUGGCCAUCCAGGACUGAAGUUUGAGAUGCCAGCCUAACAAAGAGUAUCGCCUACCGGUAGCUACAGGUAGCUGACAAUGUUGUGCCUCUGAUUGGCAGAUUGUUUGGUGAGCCAUCUGCGAGGCUGUUUGUGCUUGCCUCCAACUUUAAUGUCUCUGCGGUUGUUUUAGAGCUGUCUUUGUGCGCAUGCAAUAUCGGUCCUGUAGUAGAAGUGAACACGGCACUUCCAGGCAAAAAUCAGAAGGGUCCCAUGGAAGCUGUGGCUUUUAAUUUGACAACAACAUUGGAAACCCACACAAGGAGGAGGGGCCUGGAGCUCAGAUUUGUUUACCGUGAGAACAGGGGAGCAGGACUUGGUCAUACCCACUCAAGGCCACGCAGAAGAUGAUGGCCGUCACAUCCUCAAAGCAGUGGAUCCACUUCUUCCUCUCUGACCUUUGACCUCCCACAUCAAACAGCCUGGCAGUCCCAGUGUGUCCAUGGCUCGGAUGAUGGCCGCCAGGGACUGGAUGGUGUUGCUGUAGACCACGGGCUUGUACUGCUUCACAUCGUCGCCAGAGAAACCGUCCUCAUGGAUGAUUCUGCACACACACACACACACACACACACACUGUCACAGCGCAUCCCUGAUCCCUCUGCCCAAAAGCAUUCCUCUCAUCUUUAUCUCUGUUCCUCCUCUCAUCUCUCUUUCUCUCAGACAUUUCGUAUUUGUGAUAUUGGUACAUCUCUUGGAACGUGGAGAGAAACAUUAACUGACUUUGGUGUGGCUUAAGUGUGAGGUGCUGUGGAAGGUCUGGAGAAAUACCUGGCAUAGUCAUACAUCUGUCAGUCAGCUGCUGUUUCCAUAUCGAUGUCCAAUCAAAUUUAUCCUGGACAAAAACACCUACAACUGGCGUGUAGAACACCCACCAGGGCUGUGUCAGAAACAGCCUCCGAACUACUCUGUCCUCAAAAUAUAUGCUGUCUACUAAACAUACUGCCUACUGUUUAGUGUAUACUUUGUAGUACACAAUGGAGAGCAUGUGGAAAAAUAUCCUCCACACUAUUUUCCAGCGGCACUGUGGAAGUGUAAGACGUCCCGCCCUUGUAGUAAAAAGGCCCCGCCUCUUCCUCUCUGAUGUAUGGGACCCAAACAUGGCUCCACCUCUUCAGAGGUGUGGGACCUCCUAAAAAGUAUGGUUUACUUUCUGGAAAGUGUGCUCCCAGAUGCACUCAGUGAAACCCAGAGAUCAUCCAGGGAUUUUAAAUACCCUACAUUUAGAGAAAAUUUCUCCCACUUAACAACUUUUUCUUCCAGUGUACAAAACAUAUACUCAAUAGUAGGCAAGUCAGCUGUUUUGGACAAGGCCAUGGAUAAUUUACUCAAGGAAAAGGGUAAUCACAUAACUAAACUGACCCACACGCAAGGACUAUGAAAUAUUGUUGCAAUAGUGUUAUCCCAGUAAAGUUUCCCCUGAGCCGUAUGAACACAUAGACUUGCCCCGACCCCAUCUGAACUACAAAUUAGAACUGAGCCAGAGGUUUGGUGCCGGCACAUCAGCGGAAAACCUUAGCGCUCAGCGUGGAACGGCGCUGUCUAGCUCACCCCCCAGGAUGAGCCUUAAGAGCUGCAGCUCUCUGGAUACCGGCUGAAUUUAUUUUAGGAAUUU